rnacentral:lncRNA from 1 species
GUUAUUCUGUAGAGCUUUCCAAAUUCAUUGGCUGCAAUUAGGUCAUUAAAAGUCAAUCUGAAACACAUCAUACAAUGUCUACAACUACUAAUUUCAAAACUAUAUACUUUGAAGAAAUAUAAAUUAUUACAAAGAAAGCCAUAAAAAGUACAAUUUUACCCGUUUUCUUCUUUAUUCUAGUUUAGUUAUGUAGGACAUGAAGAAAAAUGUAA